rnacentral:misc_RNA from 1 species
UUUCCGUAGGUGAACCUGCGGAAGGAUCAUAAAAAACUAAUUUACACGCGAUUUAAAAUUGCUUACUUCAAUAACCUAUUAAACAAUCAACCAACUAAUACCAAAAACUUCCAACAACGGAUCUCUUGGUUCUC